rnacentral:tRNA from 1 species
GCUCAGUUGGUUGAGCGUCCCAACUCUUGAUUUCGGCUCACGUCGCGAUCUCAUGGAUUGUGGGUUCAAGCCCCGCAUUGGGCU